AGUGAACGCUGGCGGUAGGCCUAACACAUGCAAGUCGAACGGCAGCACAGUAAGAGCUUGCUCUUACGGGUGGCGAGUGGCGGACGGGUGAGGAAUACAUCGGAAUCUACUUUUUCGUGGGGGAUAACGUAGGAAAACUUACGCUAAUACCGCAUACGACCUACGGGUGAAAGCAGGGGAUCUUCGGACCUUGCGCGAUUGAAUGAGCCGAUGUCGGAUUAGCUAGUUGGCGGGGUAAAGGCCCACCAAGGCGACGAUCCGUAGCUGGUCUGAGAGGAUGAUCAGCCACACUGGAACUGAGACACGGUCCAGACUCCUACGGGAGGCAGCAGUGGGGAAUAUUGGACAAUGGGCGCAAGCCUGAUCCAGCCAUACCGCGUGGGUGAAGAAGGCCUUCGGGUUGUAAAGCCCUUUUGUUGGGAAAGAAAAGCAGCAGGUUAAUACCCCGCUGCUCUGACGGUACCCAAAGAAUAAGCACCGGCUAACUUCGUG
rnacentral:rRNA from 1 species